GCAGUCCUCGGUUGCCCAGGAAACAGAUGGCGGAUGAAGGGCGGACAUACAAAAGAGCACAAACCUGUAGCAGCAGCUGGGGAGCGGCUCCACUGACUUAUUCAUGUCGACGCAGCCUCUCUCAGCCAAGACGGUCUUUUGUUUCGGGACUUAUCCACAUUAUCCAGUGCUCCUAACUAGGUUGUGCGCAGCUGCUCCCGGCACUCCCACUUGAGCUUGCAGCAGCUCUGCAGCUGAACACUAUGUAGGAGCGACCAUCUCGCUCUUUUACUGCAGGGAACAACAUGGUGCGUGUUUGUCAUAUUGGCUGCUUUAGUGAGAGAUCUAAUACAAUCACGCCGACGUUGUGGGAGAUGUGCAACCUGCAGAUGACUGGAAGUAGGGUGCUGGGAUUUACCGGAUUCAACCUCAAGGACUGACAUCAAUUCAGGCCACUGCAACAGCAGCUGGACAGGUUAUGUGCUCAAGACUAUAUUUUCUAAUUACACCCAAGAGAGGGGCUCGUUUGAUAUUGUGCAAUAUUUGUUUAUUCAAAUCAAUGUGAAAUAUUUGGUGUGUAUAUGUAGUUUCAUUAAUUUAUGGAUUGACAUCAUCAAGGAGUGGCUUGAGAGGACUGCAGUUUCUUUGUAGCUUUUUGUACAGAUGCGUGUUGUGUGUCCCUGUCAGUUACAUGGAUAGACAGCAGUUUUGGUCUCACUUUGGACACAUCGUGCUGAGGACAUCGCUUCAAUGACUUGCCUUGGGCUGCCUCAAUGACGAUUGGAACAGCAGCGAUGGGUUGCCAUAUGAUGUCUAUUAUGUGGGAUACUGGACCACCGAGUCCCUGCUACCCUGGACGGAUCAACUUCCAAUGCUUUUGUGUGUCACUGAACAAUGCAUUUGAGUGAUCAGAUUUCUUCCUUUCUAUCUGUUAGAAAGAGAAAUAGAUCCAGUUUUCAGCAUAGAGGUGGUGUCAUGUGACAAUACUCAGUCCUUUCUCUUUCAGUGACGCACAUAAAUCCUAAACUAGCUUUAUCAGCCAUUUUUUUGCACAUGCAAAAGCCACUGUGGCUGCCAAGACUUUUAUUUUCUGCUGUAUGCACUGACAUCCCCUUGUUGUCUUGGUUACUUCCCCGAUUAGUUGCUCUCUUUCUCCUGGAAGACAUUGAAAUUCACCAGAAG